rnacentral:rRNA from 1 species
AACGAACGCUGGAGGCGUGCUUAACACAUGCAAGUCGAACGAUGAAAUGGAGCUUGCUCCAUGGAUUAGUGGCGAACGGGUGAGUAACACGUGAAUAACCUGCCCUUAAUUUUGGAAUAACCCAGGGAAACCUGGGCUAAUACCGGAUAAGUAAACCUGUGGCAUCACAUGGUUUUGGAAAGUUUUUCGAUUAAGGAUGGAUUCGCGGCCUAUCAGCUUGUUGGUGAGGUAAUGGCUCACCAAGGCGACGACGGGUAGCCGGCCUGAGAGGGUGAACGGCCACAAUGGGACAGAGACACGGCCCAGACUCCUACGGAAGGCAGCAGUGGGGAAUAUUGCGCAAUGGACGAAAGUCUGACGCAGCGACGCCUCGUGAGGGACGAAGGUCUUCGGAUUGUAAACCUCUUUCAGCAGGGACGAAGCGAAAGUGACGGUACCUGCAGAAGAAGCACCGGCUAACUAUGUGCCAGCCGCCGCCGUAAGAC